rnacentral:lncRNA from 1 species
AAUGAAGAAAUAAUGCAGCCUACCUUUGUUGAAUUCUAGCUGCCAUUUGAAAAGCCUAUAAAAGGUUGUGUUGAGAGCAGAAGCAUACGUAUCAACGACAGCCAAACAGAGAGAGAGAGAGAGAGAGAGGUUCUGCCAUUGUGGCAGCGACACGAGCUGUCCUGAGCAGCAGCUUGUGUAGGCUGGUAAAAUGUGGGUGAUAGAGAAAGACGAGACACUUGCAAGAGAGUGUGGGUAUGAGGUUUGGUCUUUGUCCUCCAUUAUUAUUGUAAAUUGUGGUGUUUCUCCUGUUCAUUAAUACUGUCUAUUUCAUGGAUAUAAGCAAAUUACUGAACAUAUUAAAUUUGUUGUGCUUAGUUUCUGGGCAAAAAUCAAUAGGAUUGUCUAUGGUAUUAGAAAUUUGAAGUUACCAAUAAAGUGGCAUCGAAGCUUCGGUAUUCCCAACACCACGGAGAUGUUUAAUAUCUUAUAUGGAUUGAAAGGAAAAGAUUUAGAAAGUUUGUAAGCUUCAAGCACCAUAAUUUCAUUUUAAAAACUUUUUUUUUAAAAAAAAUAUACUAGAAAAUCAAGAGUUUAAGGUGAAAAAAUACUUUGAAAUGGUUAGUCAGGUGCAAAUUUAUAGCAAUAUCAUCAAUAAUCAUAUUAAAUUAAUUUUUUAUGAUUGGAACAAAUGAGUUAUGUGAUCUCUAUAAGCUCCUAAACCUCUUGACUAAGCUACAUGGUACUUAAUAUAUCUUUCACUUUCCUUGGCACUCUAUGG